rnacentral:rRNA from 1 species
AUUGAACGCUGGCGGCAUGCCUUACACAUGCAAGUCGAACGGUAACGCGGGGCAACCUGGCGACGAGUGGCGAACGGGUGAGUAAUGUAUCGGAACGUGCCCAGUAGUGGGGGAUAGCCCGGCGAAAGCCGGAUUAAUACCGCAUACGACCUACGGGUGAAAGGGGGGGAUCGCAAGACCUCUCGCUAUUGGAGCGGCCGAUAUCAGAUUAGCUAGUUGGUGGGGUAAAGGCCCACCAAGGCAACGAUCUGUAGCUGGUCUGAGAGGACGACCAGCCACACUGGGACUGAGACACGGCCUAGACUCCUACGGGAGGCAGCAGUGGGGAAUUUUGGACAAUGGGCGCAAGCCUGAUCCAGCCAUGCCGCGUGCGGGAAGAAGGCCUUCGGGUUGUAAACCGCUUUGUUAGGUAGAAACGGUACGUGAUCUAAUAAAUUAGGUC